rnacentral:rRNA from 1 species
UACGUAGGCACCAAGCGUUGUCCGGAUUUAUUGGGCGUAAAGAGCUCGUAGGCGGCUUGUCGCGUCGAAUGUGAAAUCCUGCGGCUCAACUGCAGGCUUGCAUUCGAUACGGGCAGGCUCGAGUUCGGUAGGGGAGACUGGAAUUCCUGGUGUAGCGGUGAAAUGCGCAGAUAUCAGGAGGAACACCCGUGGCGAAGGCGGCUCUCUGGGACGGUACUGACGCUGAGACGCGAAAGCGUGGGGAGCGAACAGG